CUAAGUAUAAUAGUAUACAGUGAACUGCGAAUGGCUACAUUAAACAGUUAUUAGUUAUUGAUAAUUGAAUUCUACAUGGUAAUAACCGUAGUAAUUCUAGAGCUAAUACAUGCUGUAAAACCUGACUUUUCGGAAAGGUUGUAUUUAUUAGAUAUCAAACCAAUAAUCUUUCGGGAUUAUUGUGAUGAUUCAUAAUAACUGAUCGGAUCAAGGUGUACCUUGAUAGAUCAUUCAAGUUUCUGCCCUAUCAGCUUUCGAUGGUAGUGUAUUGGACUACCAUGGCAGUCACGGGUAACGGAGAAUUAGGGUUCGAUUCCGGAGAGGGAGCCUGAGAAACGGCUACCACAUCUACGGAAGGCAGCAGGCGCGUAAAUUACCCCAAUCCUGAUUCAGGGAGGUAGUGACAAGAAAUAACAACUCGGGGCCUCACGGCUUACGAGAUUGCAAUGAGAACAAUUUAAAUCUUCUUAGCGAGGAACAAUUAGAGGGC
rnacentral:rRNA from 1 species